rnacentral:sRNA from 1 species
CGCCUGCUGGGGGCAGAUGAAGUGGACGUGGGUGUCGAUGGCGCCGGCGGUGAGGAUCUUGCCGUUGCCGGCGAUGAUCUCGGUCUCCGGGCCGAUGACCAGGCCGGGGUGGACACCGUCCAUGGUGUCCGGGUUGCCCGCCUUGCCGAGGGCGGUGAUCCGGCCGUCGCGGAUGCCGACGUCGGCCUUGACGAUGCCCCAGUGGUCGAGCACGACGGCGCCGGUGAUCACGGUGUCGGGGGCGCCCUCGGCGCGGGUGACGCGGGACUGGCCCAUCGAUUCGCG